rnacentral:tRNA from 1 species
GAGGGGAUGGCUCAGUGGUAGAGCACAUGCUUAGCAUGCAUGAGGUCCUGGGUUCAAUCCCCAGUACCUCCA